AUCCUCUGAUAUUUUCUGGCACUAGAAAUACCAACAGUUGUUUUAAGUCAUCAAGGAGUCAAGCCCAAAACGAGGUUAAUGAGGUCACCCCCUCUCCUUCACUACCAUGUAAUCAUGUUACUCAACACGGAGGCUGGAAGUUGACGUCUGAAUACAAGCUCCCUUAAUCAGCUUGUAGGUCAGUUACCAUGACAACCUGAUCUCUUGUGGAUGUGGUGCUUCAUGAAGAGGAAGAUGAUCACCUGCCCUCAGAAAGCCUGGCAAACUCACUCAGACACCCAGCACUAAGCCGGCUUCCUGUAGCCAUAAAGGAAAAGCAGGAAGAGAAAAGAGGAUCA